rnacentral:rRNA from 1 species
GUGUCAGCAGCCGCGGUAAUACGUAGGGGGCGAGCGUUGUCCGGAAUCAUUGGGCGUAAAGCGCGUGUAGGCGGCUCGAUAAGUCCGGUGUGAAACCUUGGGGCUCAACCCCAAGCCUGCACUGGAUACUGCCGAGCUAGAGUCCGGGAGGGGAGAGCGGAAUUCCUAGUGUAGCGGUGAAAUGCGCAGAUAUUAGGAAGAACACCGGUGGCGAAGGCGGCUCUCUGGAACGGUACUGACGCUGAGACGCGAAAGCGUGGGGAGCGAACAGGAUUAGAUACCCCCGUAGUCC